GUCCAGCUUUGAAGGUGGAGCUCUCGUUCCAUAGAGGAAUUUCAAUCCUGGCAUGUUCUGUUUCAUUUAAGACCUACACCCUGUUGCUUAUUAUUUCCUGAAAUCGGACAUACUGGUGACUGAGGAAUGAUGGUUGCAUCAGAUCAUCAGAUCCCUUUGAAAAGCACCUUUUUCAGCCCUCCCAGAGACAGAGAAACCAGAGUUCUUC
rnacentral:lncRNA from 1 species